AAAAAAAAAAAAAAAAAGGAUUCAGCUAUUAUAAAUUCAUUUUUAUAUAAAAAUAGUCAUGCAUGAUGUAAUUAUAAUUGUACUCAAAAAACUUUUCUGAAUGUUUGCUACUAAUAUAAUAAUUUUUUAUUUGUUAUUAUACUCUAUGAAACUUUUACGUGUAUCUAUUCAUUGCAAGAUUCUAUGGCCUAAGCAGUGAAAUCAAGUGGUGCUUGUACAACAUUUGAAAGGAAUUGCAGAGCUUUGGCAUUCAGCAACAGAAAGGGCAAGAGAAAAAGAAACAACUUUAUGACUUCGUUGAGGAUUAAGUGAAAUUCUGCAUUUUUACAAAAAAAAUUUUGCUUCAUUAGGAAAUUUAGGCAAGUACAGUUGAGCAAUUACAGUACAGGACAAAGUUCCAUAUUUCAUCAUUUGUUACAUAGCAUGGAAAAGCAAUUCAAUCUUACACUAGAUUGAGAAAUAUGAAAGCAAAUUCAAGAUGACACACACCCACUGCACUGUCUAAAUCUUGUGAAUUCUAGUCACUAACCAGAACCACACAUACCAUAAGACAAUAACAAGGAUCAGAAUUCACCAUUAGUUUUAGAUCAAUAACAUCCGACCAACACACCAUAAAGUAUCAUAUAUCUAAUCAACUGAUGCCAAUAACAACAAGACAUCAAGGUCAGGGUUAACAAAGGAAGAAACAAGAGCCCAAAGUGAAAUUCUCCUAAGGAGAGAAUUACAACAUGACACUAGAAAAACUCCAAAUUACCCAUAUAUCAUAGCUUUUAUGCAGAGCAUAAACCAAAGUAUUUUGUAUUUGACAUUUUCCACAUAUAAGAGUUAAAGCCGAUCACUUAGCAAGUAUAUUUUGCUGAGCUUGAUUCUCCUGCUGCUGUUGAUAGUUCAAGGGCCUCCUGAAGAGCAUGAUAUGUGGCUCAGGGCGAUGAAUUGCAUAGUGGACCCAACCACGGCUCUGCUGUACGCCUAUAGCACGCCAUUCAUUUUCAGCGAGAAGCCGAUUCUUUGGGAGAAGCUUUGCCACUUCAGGAGGGAGCACCACAUGCCUGUACUCAUAAGUGUCAUCGAAAUACUUUUCGGAGUACUGGAUCUGACCCAUUUUCUACUCUACUAGGGCUUUUAGUGCCAAUCAAACUCCACUUUCAAAACAGUUGUUCGAGUUUCUUCAAGGUUUUUAUGAUUGAUCUGUGAAAAAUGAAACAAACAUCAAAGAAUAAACAGAAAUGAAGAUCAAAAGAUUCGAAGAAAGUGGAUCGAUCAGUAAAGGAUGAACCGCAGGGGGAAUUUCAUACCUGAGAGAUAG
rnacentral:misc_RNA from 1 species